rnacentral:lncRNA from 1 species
UUUAGCUUCCUCAGCAGAAAGAAAAGAAGCUGUUUUGGAGGUUGGGAAGAGCUUUAGAAAAUGCGGCAUCAAGUCUGUUGCCCCUUUAAAGAAAGCAGCUCUGGAAAAGGCCUAGGACAUUAGUUGCUACAAAGUUCUAGAUCAUUCUGUGUGGUAAAGAAGUGCCUUUCACCUCCCACUGUGACUCUGAGGCCUCCCCAGCCAUGUGGAACUAUAAGGUCUGUGUUGGUAAAUUAGACACCGUGUGGCCUUUCAACAUCCAGGAGCAAGAUGGCAGGAGGAUCAUGCCAACAACUGAGGAGUGAUAUCCACCCAGGUUUGCUCAGUAAGACUAUGAGACCUAUCUUCCUGGCUGUGGUGUUGGUUCAGAAGCAACAUGCCAACCAACCUGAUCCAAUGAGAGUGAGUUCUAGGACUUUUGCUGGAACUACUGUAUGUCUAUAUAUAAAAGAGAAUCUAUCUUUCUAUUGAAAGCCAAGGGUAAGAAGCCAAUAUGAUAUGCAUUUGAUUCUGUUAUGGAAAUCCACAUAAAAGAAGGCUGCCCAAGUAUAAAACCAACACAGAAGAAAGCAGAGGUAAGAGAUGGAAAAAGAAAUGGAGUGAACCAGUGACAGCAAGAGACUGAAGAACAUCAUUUGAUUGCCUGGAAUCAGCUAAGCCUGAAGAGAAGCCUAACCCUAAGCUUUUCAGUUACCCAAGCCAUCAAAUUCCCAUCCCCAUUUUUUUGGUUCUUAAGCAGCUUGAACCAUAGUUGUCUCACUUGCAUGCAAGAGAUCCCUGAAGAUACAUGCACUUCCUCAGGUGAAGAUUGCCAUCAGUUAACAGAUCCUGGCACCCAUGGACCCUGGGACAGUCAUUCUGGUAGCAUCCUCUGGUAGAGAAUAACAUAGUCAAAUCUGACAGUCAGAGAGGAUCUGCCAGCCUCUGCUUAGAUAUAGCCCACUGAAAGGGAGAGAUGAUUAAUUUAGCCUUGAUUUCAAAACCUUGUCUUGUAUAUUCCAUUCAGCACUUUUUAUCUUCCUGUAUUCCCC